rnacentral:rRNA from 1 species
AACGCGAAGAACCUUACCAGGCCUUGACAUGCAGAGAACUUUCCAGAGAUGGAUUGGUGCCUUCGGGAACUCUGACACAGGUGCUGCAUGGCUGUCGUCAGCUCGUGCGUGAGAUGUUGGGUUAAGUCCCGUAACGAGCGCAACCCUUGUCCUUAGUUACCAGCACGUUAUGGUGGGCACUCUAAGGAGACUGCCGGUGACAAACCGGAGGAAGGUGGGGAUGACGUCAAGUCAUCAUGGCCCUUACGGCCUGGGCUACACACGUGCUACAAUGGUCGGUACAAAGGGUUGCCAAGCCGCGAGGUGGAGCUAAUCCCAUAAAACCGAUCGUAGUCCGGAUCGCAGUCUGCAACUCGACUGCGUGAAGUCGGAAUCGCUAGUAAUCGUGAAUCAGAAUGUCACGGUGAAUACGUUCCCGGGCCUU